AUUUCAGUUAUCAAUUCAACCUUUGAUAUCAUAUUAUCACACAAAAUGAUAAUAUAAAUAUCAUAUUAUAUAUUUAAAAAAUAAAAUAUUACAAUAAAAUUUUUCGUAAAAUAUAAGCUAAAUAUAACAUUAACCUAAAAAAAAAAAAAAAAAGCGGGGAGUUUUAUCGGAGACAUGCUUAUUUGUACUUGAAGCCAAUCGGGACCGUUGAUUAUUUUGUUUUUCCUUGAUGGGAAAAGUCUAACAAAUAUAGCAUUCCUAAAGAUUCUUUGCAUUUGAAUACACAAUUGGCCGUAAAUUUUCUUCUAUUCUUUCAUCCCAUCUUUUCCAAUCCAAACCUUUUUUUUUUUUUCUUCUUGCCUUGACCUAUCUACGCCAUGAAAGAGUAAAGGAAAACACCAAAGUUUUUUUAUAAUCAACCAUGCUGAUUUAAAUAUUCAUGGCGAUGAUGGGAUGACAAAACAAUGAAAAAAAUUCCAAUUUUCAACUAUUUAAUAGAUUUUCAUAUAUGAGAGCAAAAAGAAAAAGAUAAAAGAGAAUGAGAUAAUGCACGCUAAUAAUCCAAAACAUGUGACUGAUGAUAUAUGUGUUUUUUAACACAUGUUACAUGUAGCUUAUCUUCUU
rnacentral:lncRNA from 1 species